GGGGCUGAUUUUGGAAUAGACAGCAAGAUUACUGAUAAAGGAAUGCAUAUCGUGUUACGUAAGGCGUUACACGUAAAUACCGCGUUACAAAUAUAAAUGGCGAAAAACAAUACGCUUUUGCUGCUUAAUGAAAUCAUUAGAGCUUAAUCUGUAAGAAACAGAAGCAAAAUAUCUCUCAGAAAUCCUCCUUAUAGUUUCUGAUAUAGAGAUACUCAAAAUAUAAGGAUAAGAAAGCGGAUGAUUCUUAAGUUUUCCAAUUAAAUUUUGAAUCUAGGAUUAGAUGAGGAAUCCAAAGAACGAUUCUAAUCUAAAAAAAAUAGACUUUGGAUAAAUAUGUAGAACCCCUUUUUCGUACUUGUUUGGAC
rnacentral:tmRNA from 1 species